UUUCUUUGUUUCUUCUUUAUUACAGUGGCAUUUCAUUGAAGUUCAAAUCUAUGAAUGGCAAACUUUCUGCAAUUCUUUUCCUUUGGCAUCCUUAUCAUUUCUUCUUCAUUCUUUUCUUUUAUGGGGAAGGCACCCAGUUGUGGGUAUUAUCUGACUUUAUCUAUUAACACUUUUCCCUUAUUAGAAUUAGCGUUUUGGGUAUGUGACUUCACCAUUUAAUGCAGUCAAUGAACUGCUUCAUGAAUUGGACUAAACAUGUGUUCUCAAAUUUCUAAAAAUUUAUAUUUAUGACUCAUGAUCAUGUUACAAAGCAGUAUUCUCAACUACAAAGAAGAUAGAAAUUAGGGAGAGAUGGAGAAAGAAAGGGGACGGGAAGAAGGACGAUAGAGAGAAUAGAACUUAGAGAAAAGAAUUGAUUGUAAUAUUGAUACUUCUUGGAUAGUCCUUUGUUACAACUCUUCAAUUAUUUAUACAACAUCACUUCUACUGACUAAUUGUUUCCGCCAAAUAUAACAACUACUUCAACUAGUAUAACAACUCCUAUACUGCUAUGAACUCAUCUCAUCUACAUCUAGUUAUUCUACUCCCUUCACCAUACAAUUACAGCCCUUAUUAAUGCACAUAACAAAUCAUUGCUAGAUUAUGUACCUUUAACUAUGUUAAACACAAUUUCUAUUUUGUAAUUCAAGCUUAAUUUUGUUCUUUAUGCAUAUCAUAGUCAUGGAAUUAGUUUUAAAUAGAGCUGAAUGGCGAACAUGGUUAUGGAUUAUCAUACGCUGUUGUUGUUGGGAUUAAGGCUUAGUUUUUGU
rnacentral:misc_RNA from 1 species